rnacentral:lncRNA from 1 species
UAGGCAUUCGGAGCAGACUCUUUAGGUGCUGGAUCUAUCAGUAUGUACAAGAUCCGCUUGUGCUCGAGGACUAUCUUUAGCUUUCGAUACCAACUAUCAAAAUUGGAUCCUGUCAGUUUAUCACUAUCAAUAGUGAUCGGAGCGAUAAGGUGGAGGCUAUAAAUGCAUAAAAAGAAAAUUAAAAAUCUAAUUAGUAUAUAAAUUAAUUAGGCCU